UACGAAGGGGGCUAGCGUUGCUCGGAUUGACUGGGCGUAAAGGGCGCGUAGGCGGUUCGUACAGUCAGACGUGAAAUUCCUGGGCUCAACCUGGGGGCUGCGUUUGAUACGUGCGGACUUGAGUGCGGAAGAGGGUCGUGGAAUUCCCAGUGUAGAGGUGAAAUUCGUAGAUAUUCGCAAGAACACCAGUGGCGAAGGCGGCUCACUGGCCCGAUACUGACGCUGAGGCACGAAAGCGUGGGGAGCAAACAGG
rnacentral:rRNA from 1 species